ACCGUCGUUGCGGGAGGCAAGCUGCUGCAGCCGUCCGCGGAGUCGGCCGUGAUCUACUCCGGCACGGCUAGCGGCAGUUGGUAUCACCUGCUCGUGGUCCAAGGUUACUUCCACGUCAAAGGCAUGCCAAACAAAGUGCACAUCAAGGGUUGCUCUUUCAGAGCUGGUGGCUACCAAUGGGCUUUGCAGUUCUACCCCAAUGGUAAUCGUUCGAUCAAUGCUGGUUUCUUGUCUGUUUUUCUUUUCCUUGACCAGGAUGUUGAACAGACGGUGAAGGUGCAUGUACAGUUUAGUUUCAUUGAUGAGGUUGCAAAACAAGAGCCCGCACAAAUCCAUGCAAGGGAAAAGGUUGGCUUCUUUAGCCGUGACCGUUCAUGGGGACGCCGUCGUCUCAUAAGAGGAGGAGAGGACCUUGAGAAGUCAGGGCAUCUCAAGGAUGAUUGUUUCACCAUCCGGUGCGACUUCCUCAUCGUCGAAGCAGCUGCUACCUUCAUCAAGGUGCCACCAUCUAACAUAUGUCAGCAUCUAAACCAUCUCUUCACGACGAAGGUCGGCACCGAUGUGACGUUCGAGGUUGGCAAUGAGACAUUCGCUGCUCACCGGUGCGUGCUUGCGGCCCGCUCCAUGGUAUUCAUGGCGGAGCUCUUCGGCCCCAUGAAGGAAGGCACCACGAUUGGAGCCAUACAUGUUGAUGAUAUGGAGCCAGACGUGUUCAAGGCCUUGCUUGAUUUCAUCUACAUGGACUCAAUGCCCAAGAUGGAAGGAGAAGCAGAAGAAGACGGAGCAGAGGUUCUUAUGUGGCUGAGGCACCUUCUUGCCGCAGCGGAUAGGUACCAUCUCCAACGGAACGGAGGGAGUAUGUGUGAAGAGAGGUUGUCGGAACACAUCGAUGUGACCUCGGUGACGGCUAUCCUUGGUGCAGCUACGCAGCACCAUUGCGGCGGUCUCAAGGAGGCCUGUCUGGAGUUCCUCAAAGGCCAAUCCGCUGAAGACCUGCGACAGGUUAUGGCCACGAGUGACUGGGAGCACAUUGUUGUAACCUAUCCCUCUGUAGUGAACGAGCUCAUCGUCAAGCUU
rnacentral:rRNA from 1 species